CAUUUUAAAGAAACAAGGAUAAAGCCCUGAAACAGCGACGAGGGUUAAAAGGACUGAAGGCGAUCAUUCUGCCCACCCCUGCUCCUCUUGUCUCGGCAGAAGCCGACACAACUUGCAGACAACGGGAGUCAGUGUGGCUGAUUGCAGGGAGGGGAAGAUGAGUUAUGCCUGCCCUUGGAGCAGAGAGGCUGUACAGGACAACAGAGCUCCAGGAGACAGGCUGAAAACCAUCCCCCAUGGCCUUUCUUUCCUGGCCACCCCCAGCAAGAUCAAUGAAACCAAGCAGACCAUGCCACCGAUAAAAAAAAGCCAAAAAAAUAAAUAAAAGAUAGGCACAUC